CAUGCCCGCACAAUGAGAGGUUGAAAAGCUUUAGCUCUUAAUUGAGUUCAUCUUUUUGCAGCUGGCCAUUGUUCCUUGCAAGCUUGCUGGUGAUAUUGUGACCUGGAACUGAAGUUAAAGCUCUUCAGUUCAAAGACUAGUCCCGAUGAAAUCUGAAACCAGGUAGCUCUUCAAGGUUUCUAUUUAUUUACUUUUUUCUUUAGCUUUGAGUGCUUCAAAGGGAGUAAGUUUUACAUGGUAAGGCAAUCAGGAUUGAAUUCUGAAUCACUUAUACACACGACACUAUCUCUAUCAGCUCUAAUAAUAAGCCGGAGACAGCUUUUAAAGCUUUUAAACUAUGCUUUCUAUACUUCCCCACCCUUUAUACUUUUGAGUAAUGUAGUGGUUAUAUUUCCAAAUAAUAGAAAUGGGUUUAUCUAUUAAGAAAAAGAAGUGCUAACCACCACUAACAAACAAGGUUGAAUCUACUCAGCAUGGUUAAAACCAUGUCCUGUAAAUGGCAAAAAGCAACAUGGGGUUGAAUCAGUCUGUCGCAUGUAUGCUCUCACCUGGCUUUGUCCCUUGACAUGUGAUUCAUUUUUAGUGACCGUCUUUUUUUUUUUUUUUUUUAAAACAUAAA